UUAGUGCCCAGGUGAUAGGUCUGCUUGGGACAGUGGGAUCCGGAAGACUGGGGCACUAGUGUCAGGAUGCCAGGACCUGAAGGGUUCCUUAUUUAGUAAGAGGGAGUGAGGCAGGGCCUAACCUCCCUGGUUGUUUAUACUAAAGACAGUGAUCUUUGUUUUAUGUAUAUCUUUGUUUUUGAGCUCCCUGAAUAAAAGAUAUUUGUUGUUUUUGCACAAGCCUGGAGUCGGUCGUUGGUGGAUUUUUGUAGCAGAGCACAUUCUAGCAAGUCUCCUGUUACAAAUGGUGCCCAACGUGGGGCCCUUUUGCUAGUUGUGUCAACGUGGCAGAGGACCCAACAGCCGCAAGGUAGCGGCACACAUACCAGCGUACUCCAGACCAAACUGAACUCGUAGGCAUCAGUACCAGACCAAGGGUGUUGUUACUGUAUUGUGGCUAGAAUUAGACCUGGUCCUGUGUUGAUUAGAGAUCUUCUAUUGUGGCCGAGGGAGCCCUUUCCAGUGGAAUUUUCAAAGUGAGAUUCUGGAUGCUCCAAAGAUUAAUACUUUGGAUGUCAAUCUGGAUUUGUCUGCUGGGAGCUGUGUCCUCUUUUCCAUCUCUCAUUCAGCAGAAGAUUGAUUUGUGAAGAAAAGAGUCUGGUGAAAUUACAUCUGAAAGUAAUGGAAAUGAAAAUUGCGGCAUGUCACACAAGAUCGUUACGUCUGAUUCUUCCCAGCCCCUCAAAAAAAAAUAAUUAAAAAUUGUGAGGAACGACACACAAAUUUACCACUGAGGAAAACGAGACCCUCAUUGAUAAAUUAUUUGGAAGGCCAGGUGGUAUCAAUUACUCCGUGGACUGUAAAGAGACGAUAUGGCCUGAAAUAUCUGAAAAUGUCAGCUCACUAGGUACAUGUAUUCGUACAAUACUGGUGUGUCACAAAAGAUAUCAUGAUUGCAAGAGUCCUGUCAAAAAGAAAUUGGCCAAGGAGAAGAAAUAUGUUAGUGGAACUGGUGGUGGACCAGCCAAAGUCUUUGAAUACCUGAAUUGGGAGCAAAGAUUGCAAGGAGUCAUAAUAAUUGCAUCUGUAAUAGGAGUCCCAGGAGGGUUUUAAACUGGAAAAAAACACAACAAUUUCUGAUGCCAAACAAGACAAAGAUGUACAUUCGCACCAUAUGCCUAAGGAGGUUACAGAGUUUGAGUCCUCAGGUCCAGUGCUUGAGGCAAUUCAAGGGGAUAUAAGCAUUGAGCCUGGCUCUUUUCUAUCUUCCGCACGCAUCAAAUUGGACUCUAACACCAAUCCAUUGAUUCAUCAUAUGAACAAGAUUUUUUUAAAUACCAUGUCAGAAUUUAAAGAGUUGUUACAUGUUGAAAUUGGACAUGUGGUGCAAGGUUUGCAGGAUAUCAAGAGUGCCCUCAACACAUUGGGAGAGAUCCAUGAGCAAAAUGGAUGGCGGUCAUGACAUACAAUAGGUCGACAGGAUCACUAGAUAGACAUGUACUAGGUCAACAUGAGUUUUUCUCAAUUUUUACAUUUUUUGACCUUCAUACUUAACGUUCCACGUGGACUACAAUUGGGAACGGUAACCUGUGCUGAGAGCAGCGGUAGUGGAGCGAGGCACUGUGCCCGAAGCAUAGUGAGAUAAGCGAGCCAUGCGAGUGGUCACGGUGCACUAAUUGGGGUUCCCCAUCACUUUUCAAAGAAAACGACACCAUAAAAAGUAAAAAAAACUCAUGUUAACGUUUUUUCCAUGUCGACCUAGUGAACCACACCCGAACAAAAUACACUACUAAUAAACACUAAUUUAAGUUCAAUUUUGGAAUCGUUUAGAAAUUUUAGGAAUCGUUUAGAGUUAAAAAACAAAGAAACACAUGAAGGGUUUGGACGAGAGAAUAUUGUUGAUACUGGCUCCAAGUAGCAACCACCCAAAAAGUUUUUAAAAAAAGGGGUACACAAAUUUAUUCUCAAGUGGAAUGUGAACAAGACGGAAAUUCAGCAGAUUCACAUUCUCCCAAACCCAAAAAUUGGUAAAAGCUUCUGAAACUUAAACAACGUACUGUAGACUUUUCUUUUAAAAAUACUAAAAUAUUUAUGCGAUUCUUAUAUGUAGUUCUUCCAGACUAUAAUUUCAUCAAUGAGUGGUCUGAAUGUACUGUAAAACCCCCAAAAACAAACAUUUACUACUUAAAUUUGUUCAGAAGAAGUUUUAAGUGGUUAAGGAUUUUAAAUUAGAAUGAAAAAUAUGAACGGAAACUAAUAUUUGC